UUCGCCCUUAGAGUUUGAUCCUGGCUCAGGACGAACGCUGGCGGCGUGCCUAACAUAUGCAAGUCGAGCGAGUGGAGUUCUUCGGAACAAAGCUAGCGGCGGACGGGUGAGUAACACGUGGGCAACCUGCCUCAUAGAGGGGAAUAGCCUUCCGAAAGGGAGAUUAAUACCGCAUAAGAUUGUAGCUUCGCAUGAAGUAGCAAUUAAAGGAGCAAUCCGCUAUGAGAUGGGCCCGCGGCGCAUUAGCUAGUUGGUGAGGUAACGGCUCACCAAGGCGACGAUGCGUAGCCGACCUGAGAGGGUGAUCGGCCACAUUGGGACUGAGACACGGCCCAGACUCCUACGGGAGGCAGCAGUGGGGAAUAUUGCACAAUGGGGGAAACCCUGAUGCAGCAACGCCGCGUGAGUGAUGACGGCCUUCGGGUUGUAAAGCUCUGUCUUCAGGGACGAUAAUGACGGUACCUGAGGAGGAAGCCACGGCUAACUACGUGCCAGCAGCCGCGGUAAUACGUAGGUGGCGAGCGUUGUCCGGAUUUACUGGGCGUAAAGGGAGCGUAGGCGGACUUUUAAGUGAGAUGUGAAAUACCCGGGCUCAACUUGGGUGCUGCAUUUCAAACUGGAAGUCUAGAGUGCAGGAGAGGAGAAUGGAAUUUCCUAGUGUAGCGGUGAAAUGCGUAGAGAUUAGGAAGAACACCCGUGGCGAAGGGCGAUUCUCUGGACUGUAACUGAGGCUGAGGCUCGAAAGCGUGGGGAGGCAAACAGGAUUAGAUACCCUGGUUAGUCCACGCCGUAAACGAUGAAUACUAGGUGUAGGGGUUGUCAUGACCUCUGUGCCGCCGCUAACGCAUUAAGUAUUCCGCCUGGGGAGUACGGUCGCAAGAUUAAAACUCAAAGGAAUUGACGGGGGCCCGCACAAGCAGCGGAGCAUGUGGUUUAAUUCGAAGCAACGCGAAGAACCUUACCUAGACUUGACAUCUCCUGCAUUACCCUUAAUCGGGGAAGUUCCUUCGGGGACAGGAAGACAGGUGGUGCAUGGUUGUCGUCAGCUCGUGUCGUGAGAUGUUGGGUUAAGUCCCGCAACGAGCGCAACCCUUAUUGUUAGUUGCUACCAUUUAGUUGAGCACUCUAGCGAGACUGCCCGGGUUAACCGGGAGGAAGGUGGGGAUGACGUCAAAUCAUCAUGCCCCUUAUGUCUAGGGCUACACACGUGCUACAAUGGCAAGUACAAAGAGAAGCAAGACCGCGAGGUGGAGCAAAACUCAAAAACUUGUCUCAGUUCGGAUUGUAGGCUGAAACUCGCCUACAUGAAGCUGGAGUUGCUAGUAAUCGCGAAUCAGCAUGUCGCGGUGAAUACGUUCCCGGGCCUUGCACACACCGCCCGUCA
rnacentral:rRNA from 1 species